UUGUUAUAUGUGUUGGGUGUUUAAUUCACCCGACCAUUUAAUACAGUUUUGAACAAUGAAAAAUCAAAUUUGAAUCUUGGAAAAGGUGACCAUGUCUACUUAAUAUAGGUGGACUGUUCAAUAAAGGUCACUUAAAUAGUAUUUAUAUUUUGAAUUUUUGGGACAUUACCACACAAUUGCCAAAAAUAACCACUGUAUGAAAAAAUGUAUGCUCCAAACAGAUGUUUUCAAACAAGUUGCUUUCUUACAUAAUUCAUUCAUAUUUAAAUUGUUAUGCAUCAAGAUCGUUCAGUUGUAGGGAAAAAUGUUUCAGUUCCUAAGUCCCUGACAUAAAACAACUAUAUUACAAUAAACCAAGCACCCAAAAAGUAAUAAAAAAAUUCCAUUUAAGAUAAUUCACUUAAGAAAGACUGGCCACAAAAAAUUCCAGUGCCACAUCUUCCUCUAUGCACAUGUUUCUCUUGCUGGAGACUCUUUAAGACGAAAUUUCUUUACUCAAGAAUUUUAAAAUGAAAGGAAUGAACUAAAGACUGCUGAAUCUUAUGGCAAAGACAGUGAAUAUUCUGAAGAUGUGAAUCAUGAGCGCCGACGACGACGUCGAUAACGUUGAUCAACAAGAAUUAGACAGUGUUUUAUGUACUGAACAAGUUGCAAGCGAUUGUUGAAAUUCAUAUUCCAUUGAAAUCCUACAGUGGCAGUUCGGCCCUACCAACGAACGAUUUGUCUAUGAAUCGAGACAGUAAACAUCUAUAUGCUGUCCUGUUGAAGUGAUAGAAAUCCUACGGAGGUAAUGGUUACCCCAAAGGAUUGGGGAAAAUUGAAAAAACAACACAUUUGAGAGAACGUUGCUAAAUCGAUCAGCGUACAAGGUUCGCAAAAACCUUUGGUGAAAAUAAGUAGUUUGACUUCCAAUGAUUUAUCUAAUGUCAAAUUUUCACAUAUUUGUAGAUGUAGAUCGUCCAAGUUUAUAAAGUCAUAAAAAGGA